rnacentral:rRNA from 1 species
UACGUAGGGUGCAAGCGUUGUCCGGAAUUAUUGGGCGUAAAGAGCUCGUAGGCGGUUUGUCGCGUCUGCUGUGAAAACUCGGGGCUUAACUCCGGGCCUGCAGUGGGUACGGGCAGACUGGAGUGUGGUAGGGGAGACUGGAAUUCCUGGUGUAGCGGUGGAAUGCGCAGAUAUCAGGAGGAACACCGAUGGCGAAGGCAGGUCUCUGGGCCACUACUGACGCUGAGAAGCGAAAGCAUGGGGAGCGAACAGG